rnacentral:misc_RNA from 1 species
UCUUCGGUGUUACUACUUUUUUUAAGUCAGUCGGAUUGCAACAACUCUACCAUACAAUAUACCUAUAUUGAAAUUGUGAGGAAGGGGUGUGCUUCAAGGCGUAUUAGUACUACUAUGCUCCAAGCUUUUGCCAUUUCUUUAACCGUGUUAUCGGUGACACUGGGGGUGAUCCCAAUUAUCACUGGGGUCAGGAGCUCAUCGGAUUGCGAACUCAUUGGUAAAGGAGGAUGCCGUGGGCCCAAUUGGUCGUUUGAAGAUUGGCCUAAGAACAUAGGCAAGAAGGAAGACUGUUGUUCCGGCUGUAGGGAAACUAAAGGAUGCACCAGCUAUCAUAUGACCAAAAACAAGGAAUGCGUUCUCUAUGGACAUAAGGAAAUAAUUCCUGCUCAAAGCCUCGCCGGAAAUUGCUUCAGAUUAAGGGAGCACAAUGAGGAAAGUGGUUCUCAUAGGACCCAUGGAGAUGAAUUCAUUUCAUCAAAGCAAUGUGAGCAAAUGGUAGAGAAAGAGUGCGGCGGGAAGUUUAUUAAAGAACCAAAGAAGCCUACACCUGAAAAGAAGAAGCCUAUAAAGGACGAACCUAAGCAUGAAAAGAAGAGUAAAGAUUAUUCGUCUAAGAAACUGGAAAAAGAAGUGAUAAAGGAACCCAAAAAACCUUCACAGCCCACUGUCCAGAAAAAAAAGACACAAGAAGGUCAUAAGAAUCCUUCAAAAGAGGAGAAUAAUAAGAAUAAAAAGAUAAAGAAAUCUAAGGGAUCAACUUCUACCAUAGACAAAGUGGGGAACAAAUACUUGCUUAAAGUGGGAGAGGGAGGAUGCAGAGGAGAUGGUUGGUCAAAAGGAGAGUGGCCUAAAUGGUAUGCAAACAUGGACACAUAUACUUGUGCCAAAGCAUGUUUGAAUAGCAAGGAAUGCACUGCCAUUCACGUUCUAGAGCGCGAAACUUUGGAGGGAGAAACUUUAUUAGAGUGCUUACAUUAUAAUCACAAAAAAGUUAUUACCGUUCCCAGACUUGGAGGUAAUUGCUAUAAAUUAGUGGACAAUAUUCAGACUAAGGAUGAAGGCAAAGAGGACGAUUCAGAAACGAUUGUAAGCUUCAAAAAACCAGUGGAGAUUAAACACCUUGGAAAAGGUCGAUGUAGAGGAUAUUUAUGGCAAAGCUAUGACAAUAAAUGGCCUAAAGUUUCAGGACAUUUAACUCUUAAAGAGUGUUCCGAGGAAUGUGCUAGAUUUAAGGGAUGUACAUCAUUUGAUAUAACGGAAGAAACAUCCAACAAAAAAGCAGAUUGUCUCCUCUAUUCACAUAAAGACAUUGUACCAGCAAAUUUCCAAAAAGGAUCAUGUUAUGGCCUAGUGGAUCGACUUCAUUCAAAAGAGAAACCCCUUAAAAAAACUCAAAACCAUGGAAAGAAAGAUGUUAAUACUAAUAUUGAUGAGAGUGACAAUGAUUAUGAAGAAGAUGAGCUUGAACUUGAUGAAGAUGCUACCUAUUUUCACCAAGGACAUGGAAGAUGUAGAGGUCCUAAUUGGACAAUUGGCAGGAAAUGGCCAAAAUUAAAGGGGAGGAGGUCAAUUCAAGGAUGUGCCAACUCUUGUCAGUUGAAAAAAGGAUGUACAGGCUUCGAUAUUUCUGAUGGAAGUGAAGCUGACCAAACAUAUGAAUGUGUAUUAUAUGGCCACAAAAACCCUGCACCUGCAUCAAGCGUUCCAGGCGAAUGCUACAAGUUGGAAUUUGUUACUGAGGACGACAACUCAGAUGAGAAUGAUGAUGAGGCGGAUGACUUGGACGAAGCUUUUUCAAAUAUAGGUGAUGAUGUAGAGAAAAUAGAUGAGGGAGCUUGCCGUGGUGAGAAUUGGCAGAAUCCUUCUCAAACCUGGCCAAAAGUGAAAGGCAUUUUAAUGCCAGAAGAAUGUAAAAAUGAAUGUGGAAACACAAAGGGCUGCACAGCGUUCGACUUAUCGCCGCUUGAUACAACAGCUAAUGCGGAAGGAAAGUUCAACUGCUACUUAUUUGGACACAAGGAUGUAAUUGCAGCUUCUGCAGUUCCGGGGAAUUGCUUCAUUUUCCCGGACGCAAUACCCAAUGAUGAAGAAAAUGACGAUUAUGAUAAAAAGGAAUUUAAAAAACUGGGAAAAGGCCUUUGUCGAGGGCCAAACUGGCAGGAUAAGUACUGGCCAAAGGUCGGUAAUUUGGUGAAGGAGGAAUAUGAAUGCUUCAAGCAAUGUAAAGAGAGAGGUGCAUGCACUGCUUUCGAUGUAUCACCGUCCACAACCCCGUCCAAGUUAAAUUGCUUCAUGUUUGGACAUGGAGAAGUGAUUCCUGCAUCGAGCUUAAAUGGUGACUGCUACAAGAUGAAAGGACGAUCAGCACGAAAACGUUCAUUUAAAGCACACUCGACGCCACAAGUUUUCAAAGGUGUAUGUAGAGGAGAAAACUGGCAAUCUUUGAAGGGAUGGCCUGUCGAAAAAAGCUCUAUUGUUUUAAAUGCAGAUGAUUGCUCCGAAAUGUGCGAAGAUAUGAAUGGCUGCACGGCAUUUGACAUCAGAAAUUCUAGUGGAAUGAAAAUAUGCACCUAUUAUGGUCAUAAGGAAGUCAAACCCGCAGCUGCAGUACCAGGAGAAUGUUACAUAUUCCCGCUAAAAGAUAAUAUUAGCGACGAGAAAAAAGUAGUCGAAGGACAGACUUACAUAGGAAAGGGAGCCUGCAGAGGACCUGGAUGGGCUGGUAAGAAAUGGCCCAAAGAAAUCAAGGGGAAAAGAAUAAGCUUAAAGGAGUGUGCUCAAGAAUGUUGGAGCCUAAAAGGAUGUACAGCUUUUGAUUUAAGAGAACAUGAUAAUGAAAUAGUAUGCACUAUAUUUGGCCACAAGAAUGUAAUACCUGCAAGCGCAGUUCCCGGCGACUGCUACGCCGCUCCUAAGGUCUCAUUAGAAAAGUCCAGGAAUGGGAAGAAAACGGAAGAAAAACUGAAGAAAAAAAAACCAGACGUAGAGAAGCCUAAGAAGAAGAAAUAUUACAAAAUUCCAGAAUAUAAAGAACCCAAAGUUAUCAAUGAUGAAGAGUCUGAUGAUGACGCAGAGUGGCUAUUUGAGCCUCCCCCACCUGAAGUUCGAGCUCGAAAUCAUAUUGAAGAAAUUCUGGAUAUGACAAAGUUAAGUACAUACAAGUCCGACAAAUUGAUAGACAAAACUCUCAAGGAUCUAAAAAAAACAUAUCAAUCCUCAGUUGAGCCAUUAGAAACCCUAUUUAAAUACAGAGAACUAAGUAAUCGACAUCACGGAGACCCUGAAAUUUUUGCAAACCCCUUAAUUGUAUUGAUGGGCCCAUGGUCUGGAGGAAAAUCUACCAUGAUUAAUUACAUUUUAGGGACUGAGUUCAGCAAAAAUGCAUUCAAAGCAACUGCAGAACCAUCAGAAGGUUUUAAUUUCAAUAUUGCCAUGUACGGAGAUAGUGAAGAAGAACUUGAGGGUACAGAGUUAGCAGCUCAAUUUGCUUUUUCUAGUCUACAAAAGUUUGGACAAGAAUUCUUAAAAAAGUUGAAAGGAAAGAAAAUGCCCAAUCAACUUUUAAAGAAGAAAUACCAGGUGUUUUAGAAACGGGAAGCGUCCGAAAAAGGGACCGUCAAUAUCCAUUCAAUGACGCUUGCCAAUGGUUUAUAGAUCACGCCGAUCUUAUUUUACUUGUUUAUGACUAUGCUAAAUUGGACAUCGGGCCAGAAACAGAAGCACUUCUUGAUCAAUUGAAGGGAAGAGAAACCCAAGUACGGAUUAUACUCAAUAAAGCUGACGAAAUAACAGCAGAUGAAUUAUUGAAAAUCCAAGGAAGUUUGGUAUGGAAUGUAUCACCAUUGAUGGCAAGUAUGGAACCCCCAAAAAUGUAUGCAGGAUCUUUCUGGUCUAGACCAUAUAAAACUGGCGCACCAAAAAAGCUUUUAAAAUCCCAGGAAAUAUCCCUGUUAAAGGACAUACAUCAGGCUAUAACUAAGCAAGUAGAAAAUAG